CCUUGGUUUCCCUCCCAUUUCAGUUACUUUCCACAAUCAAAAUUCAAACAUAAUUUCCAUGUGGCUUAUACAACACACCCCCCCCAUAAAUGCAAUCAUAUAUCUUCUCUCGAAAAAAACCCUUACUUACUGCGGCACGCAAUGGAAUCUUUGCUUGCAUCGAAAAUCGAGAGGAUACAACAAACUAUACCUUAUCACCUUCUCUAUUUUUUAUCCGACUUGAGCUCAACAAAUCCACACAACUUAUUGCCUCAACUCACAUAAAAAAGGGGCUAUGUAUAUACCCACUAUGUCGGCGUAGGCCCACUUUUACUCGAGCUCACUUCGUCACCACAAAU
rnacentral:lncRNA from 1 species